rnacentral:rRNA from 1 species
AUACGGAGGGUGCAAGCGUUGUUCGGAAUCACUGGGCGUAAAGGGCGCGCAGGCGGUUUGGUAAGUCAGAUGUGAAAGCCCACGGCUCAACCGUGGAAGUGCAUUUGAAACUGUCAGACUUGAGUACUAGAGGGGAAAGUGGAAUUCCCGGUGUAGAGGUGAAAUUCGUAGAUAUCGGGAGGAAUACCGGUGGCGAAGGCGACUUGCUGGCUAGAUACUGACGCUGAGGCGCGAAAGCGUGGGGAGCAAACAGGAUUAGAAACCCUAGUAGUCC